GGAUCAUGACCUGAGCCAAAAUCAAGACUUGGACACUCAACCAACUGAGCCACCCAAGCAUCCCAGGAAAAAAAGGAUAUUAAACAAAUAAUCACAAUAAUAAAUGUAAAGUUUCACUCGUGUGAAGUGUUAGGAAGAAGAGACACUCAGGGCCAGGUUUAGACUGGUCAGGAAGUGCCCUGAUCAAGCUGCUUCUUUGAAAAACACAAGAGGUAAUUGUGUUUAGAGGCUUUUAUUUAUUUGCCUGUUUAUGUGAUACUUUAAUACACAAAUGAUUUCUUUGAAAGCAAAGCAAUUUAUUUCAUUGAGUAGAUAUAAGCAACUUUAGAUCUUCUUUGCUUUUAGCCAUUAUCAACACUAAUGUUUCACCAGGGGAGUAUACUACGGUAAAGCAGGCUGAGUUACAUGGGUCUACCAGAGAAUUUAGAAAUAUUGGAUUGUGUUGCUCUUGGAAAUCAUUACCAUCAGAAAAGUUUGCCAUCUAAACCUGCACUCUUUUUUUUUUAAGCUUAUUUAUUUAUUUUUGAAAGAGAGAGAGAGAGAGAGAGAGAGAGAGAGAGAGAAUGAGUGGGGGAGGAGGAGAGAGAGAGAGAAUCCCAAGCAGGCUCCACUAUCAACACGGAGCCUGGGUUCUGGGGCUUGAUCUCAUGAACCAGGAGAUAAUGACCUGAAACCAAAACCAAGAGUUGGAUGGUUAACCUACUGAGCCACCCAGGCACCCUUAAAUCUGUACUUUUUACCUAGAGCACCACAUUCCACAGCGCCUACCUGCUGACGCGCAAAACAGAAGGGCACUUUACACUUGGUGCUGAGGACCUUCCUUGCUUAUUGACACUCUGAUCUUAUUCUGUCAUUUAUUUAUUAUUUGUUUCUCAAAAAAUGUUUAUUCAUUUAUUUAUCAAAACACCUUCCUUGGGGCACAAUGCAGGACACUGGAGACCAAACAGGAAACAUGAAGGAUGAGGUCCCCGGUCUCAGGAGCUUAUUACAGUCAGACACGAAGCAAACACAUGAAUGAAUAAGGAAAAGACCCAGGAAAAGAAUGAAAUGUGCAUCAAGUAAGGCCUCUCUGAAGGAAAAGUGACAAGUGGGCUGAGAUGUGAAGAAUAAGAUGCAGUUCAUGCAGUCCCGCCUUUGAAGCAGAACUCCUGCUUUGUGUCACCUUGAGAAGUGAUUGCAAGACAGCUUGGUUUCACUCUCUUGAUUGUCAUAAAGCUGCUAUUCUGCCUGUACCAAGCAAACCAGAAUCCUGGAUAUAAUUUGAUCUUCAUUACGAAGAGGGGAGCCGAAUCAGAUAAUAGAAGACUUGAAGAGUUUAAGUAACAAGGGAUCAACCUCACAUUCCCCAUCCAGCUCUACACCCCCAUUGGGGUAGUUGUUUGUGGCUCAAGUUACUUUAACAGGAACUGAGGAAAGGCUAUUUUGAGUCCAAGACAUGAGGCUAAGGGCUUUCCCUCUCCUGGGAAACCCCCAUCCCUGAAAUCUACCCAAAUCUCAGAUUUACAUCUCACAAAGGCAGAUGCCAAGACCCCUUCUUUGCACAAUACAUCCCUCCCGCCUGCCUCCAGAAGCCUACAGGUAGCAAUUUGCCACAUCCUCUGCAUUUGACAGAGGGCUAGGAAUUAGAGGAGGUGUUUUGCUCUCCUGUCACUUGUCUCCUCAUGGUAUAAUUAUCUGAGUUCCUAGGUGCGGCUGUGAUAUGUGAAGAAAUCCAAAGAAGAAACACAAUAUGUCUUCAUUGUCUUUCAUCAUUAGCCUUCAAUUAAAUAUUUCCUACCCUGGGCUAAGGUAGCUUGGGGUGGAACAAGCCAAGGGCUGCAAGCCAGAAGAGAUGAACCUUAAUCUCUCUUCCACAUGUAGGAGCUGUGUGUUGUUAGCCAAAUCUCUUACUAUCUCUGAGGCUUGGUGUUUUCUUUGAUAAAACCAGAGAAUAGACUGGAUUAUUUCUAAAUUCCUCCUGGGGCUGAUUUAUUAAAAAUUCUAUAGCUAUAAUUUAUGCUCAAAUAAUGAUGGAAAAAAUAGUCUAAAUACCAAGUGAAGGUGGUUAAAAUCAGGCUAUCUGAUGUUGAUCUGUUGAGGUUUCCUCCAUAAGGUAAUUUUGACUUUUGCAUUUUGCCUGCCCAUUUACAGGAGCUGGUAAUGUUCGAGACGAAGCAGGAAUUCAAACCACAUUUUUUAUGUAAACACACUACAUUUUUUUGUCUUAGGAAAUGUUUUGAAGCAACCCAUGCAUUUCACAAUCUUCAUAACUAAAUUCUGAGAAAUUUACUUGUUUUAAGAACAUAUUUAUCGUAUCUAAGUACGCCUAAAAAGUAGUGAGACUACUUUCUAAAAGACACACCCUAAGAAGUCUCAUGGUGUGUGUCAUACAACAUGUUCUCCUUUCCACAUAAAUGCUGUAUUUCAAGAAUGGAUAGAAUUUAAUAAGUCAUUUAUUCCAUAGACCCUUGCCCUUUUGUCAUCUACAAAGAAAGGAAGUAAAAAACAAACAAAAUAUUUCUACGAUUAAAUUCAAGUCUUAAGUAAUAACAUUUCAUUUUUGAAUGGGGCUUUAAAACCUUUGAAGCAUUUUUACGUAAAUUAUUUUACUAGCUUCUCCCAUCACCCCUGUGAAGUACAGAGGAGGACAAUGUUAUCUUUAUUUUACAAGUGAAGAAAUGAAAGUCAGGCAAUAAAACUUACAAAGGAAAAGGAGACACAGCCCCUAGGAUCUGGCAUUGAAGCCAGAGUACCAUCAAAUGGGAUUUCCUUCUGAAGACAUGUUGGCAUUUAGGGAACAUUGCCUUGGCCUUGCUUUUCCUGAAAUGAAAAGUCAUGAAACAAAUCUUAAAGGCAAGCUCCUUGGGUCUCAAGGGGCUCCUGCGUGCUGUCAGGCAUCCAUGGUCUCUCUGUUUCAUAGAAUUUUAAAGGGGAUUUCUUAUAAUCCUGACUAUUGCUAACAACUACAGCCUGUAGUAUACACAUAAGAACAUGUGAUCCAAAGCUCUGAAUGAGCUUCUAGAAAUUCCAUGAAGCCAGCCUGGUGGAUUUUCCAGGCUGCUGACAGGGACUAAAAUCACUAUGAGCUUCCAAAGAGAAGAUUCUGUUGUAUAAAACAUGCCUUUGAUGCACUGAAAUGUCUAAAAACUUUUUUGAGAGUGGGUAGUCUUUUCUGCUUGAAUUUUGGACUGACAAAUGAGUGACAUCGUGAAGCAUGAGUCUAAGUUGGUUUGGAAUCUCUUUCCUAUCUCCUAAGACCCCUGGACUUGAGUGGCAAGAAGGUCAGAGUGGCAGUCACAUUGUAAGAGCUUGUGAGUAUAAUCCAACAACCAGAAGAGACAUCUCAUAUCAUUCGAGUGACCCCUGCACACCUCCCGCAGGUCACCUUACACUUCCUAGCUUGAGGCCUUUGCAGAAUCCAUACAAGCUGUGAAAUGAUUCCUUUCCAUGAAGCACUGGAACAAAGAAGCUCACUCUGCUUUCUGGUAAAGCCUUGCUGAGCUAUCUAGAAUUGUGGUUUAGCUCCACAGCCUUGGACCUUUUGCAAACAAUAUCAUUUCUUUCAAAUGAGGAUAAUAGCCAGCAAGGCUACUAUCGUUAUUACUUUCUCUCUUACUUAGUCUUUUUUUCCUCCGUGAAUGUUUCAAGGUUUUCGAGGCAGGAAAAAAAAAAAUCCAGGUUUGCAGGUCAGUAGUAACAACGUUGGACAAAACUUCUUCAAUAAAGAUUCACACUAUUUGAUUUAGCCUAUUUGAAAGCAAUAACUUGCAGAGACAAGUAACAUCUUGCAAAACCUGUUGGCUGGCUGUUCAGCUUUGUCAUCUGAUUUCUUAAGGAAAAUACCAAGUAGUUUUGGAUUUUAACACCCUCUGUUUCAUGAUGCCUUAGUAGCGUAAAAUAUUUCAGAAAAGUUAGGUCCUAGGAGAAUCCAGUCUUAAAGAUUUAUUUAGUGAAAGGAGAUAUAAUUUACGGGGCAGAGAUAGAAGUACAUGAAUAGAGUCUGGACUUCACCACAAAAUCACUCAGUUUCAGAACCCCCUAAGUAUCUGUGGCUGGGGAAAAUUUGGGUUGAUUUAAUUUCUUGGAAUGCAACAAACUGGUAGGGACUUGUAGGAGAAAUAUGAAUCACUGUCUCAAAGUUAAGAGGGUCUGUAGGUGCCUUCUAGUCCAACCUACUGUAUAAUACAGAAGUUUCCUGUAGUAGCCCACAGUCUCUGCUUAGACAUCUCCCAUGGUCGACAGCUCACGCCCUCAUAGGCACCUUCCCCAAGCUCUAAAUUUUUAAAAACUUCUUCCUUGAGCUGGAAUUUUCUUGCCUUUUAACUCCCAUCUAGUUUGGGCCUUUGGAAUAUGGAAACAAAAUUAAUUCCUCUUCCAUUUGACAUCACAUUUGAAGACAAAUAUGACAUUGACAUUCAGUUUGCUUCUCUUAGAUAAAUAUCCUUCUAAAGUAUAAAAAGUUUCCCCUAGAAUGGGACUACUAGAACUUUGAUUUAAAAAAUAAACACUUGGGUAAUUGGAAAGGCAUUCAAUAUUCUCGGGUAGGAUUAAAUUUGUUAAUGGUGUCAGGUCUCCCUAUGGUAAUCUGAAAAUUCUAUGUGAUCCCAAUGUAUAAAUAUACACAUUAUAAACAAUAUGUGCUCCUUUUUCUGGAACCAUCAAAACUCAUUCCACUUACUAUGGGCUUACCAUGUAU